AUCUCUGUAGCGGAAUAAGUUAGUGCAUUUGGUUGUUAAUCAAAAGGUUUGUGGUUCAAGCCCACCCAGGGAAG
rnacentral:tRNA from 1 species